rnacentral:lncRNA from 10 species
CUGGAGUGCUGUGCAGCAGAUGGAGAAAUGAAGCCUGCUGUUUCAGCUCAUGAAAAGCUUACCUUAGUGAUUCAAACUGGAGAUCAAAGAACUUCAUGGGUUUAUAAGACAGAUAUAUCAAGAUCCAAUCAUAUAGAAUUGCUAAUUUUUCAUAAAUCUACACAAAGGCAGCCUAGUCAAAGGCAAUAUAUGCAUCCUUUUCCAUUAAAAAAGUAACAGAAUGUAAUUUUCAGGAGCAUAAAGACUAUUCAUUUUCAUGAAUGUAGAUUUGUGCUCAGAAAUGGAAUUGCAAACUUAUUCAAGAGCUUAACAAAGUAAAGCUACAUUUGGUUAAAUGAAAGCAAAUAGUGGAGAACAAUAUUUUUGAAACAUGUUAUUCUUUCAGCUAACAUGAGUAAAUGAGGAGUAGAAAUGACAAUUCUGCCUGUGUGUCAAAUAAGCAAGCUUCUUAGGACAUAAAGAGGUUAGAGGCUGAGAUAAAAAGAAAUUGAUUUGGAAAAUUGGAGAAAUUCACAGUUAAGUAGUUAAUUGGUAACUAUUCCUGCUGCUAGCUUCUUCCGUAAGGAAACCUACAGGUAGCAUUCUAUACCAUAUUGGCUCUUCUGGACUGGCCAGACACGUGAGAGGUGUUGAAUGAACUAUUAAUAAAAAAGCUCACCACAUUUACAUAUGAUCAUCCUUGAAAUGGAGAUGACUAAACUAUGGGAGUUGUUCAAAAUGAUUGAAACUUUGAAAAGAACCCACCUUUUGUAGUGAUCCAUCUAGUUGUUCAGGGAGUUAAUGGGUAAAACAGAUAUUCCCAAGCAGUCAUUUGCUGGAGGAAAUGUACUGCUUCAUCUUUAUGUUCCUGGUUCUUACAUUCAGCAAAUUUUUACUGAGCAUUUAUUAUGUUCCAAGUAUCAUGGCUGGUACUAGGAAUACAGAGAUACACAGUUGUUGACCUCAAGAAACUAAUAUUGUCGUGGAAUGAAAGACAUAUUAACAGAUAUUUAUGUUACUGUGAUAAGUGCUAAGAUGGAGCCAUACCUAAGUCAGGCUGAAGGAGAUGUUUGGAGUCAGAUAAAGGGUUUGAGAGAAGAAAAUAUAUCAGACACAUCUUAAAGGACCAGAGACAUAUAGUCUGCUGAGGAAGAGGAAUCAGGCAUUUCAGGAAUUUGGGUCUAGGCUUUUCUCCACUUUGUUGCUCCUUGGAACUUAGGUUGGGGUUGAAGAAGAGUUGUGAGAUGUAUUUCUAUUGGUUUAUGAGGAAGGGGUCUGUCUUAGUCUGUUUUAUGUUACUUAUAACGGAAUACCUAAAACUGGGUAAUUUGUAAGACAUGAAAUUUGUUUCCUUACAGUUCUGGAGGCUUGAAAGUCCAAGGUCAAGUGGAUGCAACUGAUGGUGUUAGAAGUGGGGUCUGAAGUAGAGCCUCUAUAAGAACCCCAGGAGUGCUGAGUGAACAAGCAAGGUAUCUGCUGGAGCUACUUGUGUCCUUUGAUCUCUCAGCAGCUGGAGAUCAUGGUAAGUUCUCUCUCAGAUUUCAGAGCUCCAUGGAUUUGUGUUUUGAGCUCUCUAAGUUUCUUUGAGCAAAUUUCUGUUCCAAACUGGGUUUGGAAGUUGCGACAGAUAUUAGACUGGGUUCAGGAUGGGAUUUGAUCCAGUAAUUAACUGAUUUGGAUCCAGUAACAGGCCACUUACAUCUGACUGGGUUGGAGAUAAACUGGUAGUAAAUGGUAAUAUUGCAGGGGCUGUAAAAUUUGGCUUUUGAAAAUUCACAG